rnacentral:rRNA from 1 species
UACAGAGGGUGCGAGCGUUGUCCGGAAUCACUGGGCGUAAAGGGCGCGUAGGUGGCCUGAUAAGUAGGGGGUGAAAUCUCGGGGCUUAACUCCGAAACUGCAUUCGAUACUGCCGUGCUUGAGGACUGGAGAGGAGACUGGAAUUUACGGUGUAGCGGUGAAAUGCGUAGAUAUCGUAAGGAAGACCAGUGGCGAAGGCGGGUCUCUGGACAGUUCCUGACGCUGAGGCACGAAGGCCAGGGGAGCAAACGGG